rnacentral:lncRNA from 1 species
GUGUGUCCAAACUUAUCAACUGUAUAUAUUAAAUAUAUACAGUUUUCAAUCUAUCAGUGAUACUGCAAUAAAGUUGUUGUUUUAAAAAUUCUAUUGAAUCUCUGGGUUGAAGCCACUUCUUUCUUCAUAGACCUACGAGUGUUCAGUUCCUUUGGAUAUACUUUGGAUCUUAUAUGAUAUUACCAAAUAAUUCAAUUUUCCCAAAACGGUUAUUCUUUUCUGACACUUGUACUUUUGUUACUUUUUCCCUCAGGUUUAUAUGUGAAAAGAAUAAUGUCAAGGUGGGAUCAGUCCUUAGAGAGUCUUAUAAUGAUGAAGUGCUAAGUGAGUUUUUGUAUCACAUUUUCUGUUUGAUGUCUCCACUUAACCUCGUGGAUGGGACAGAAAGGAGAAGAGAGAGAGAGAGAGGGAGAGAGAGAGAGAGAGAGAGAGAGAGAGAGAGAGAGAGAGAGAGAGUGAGAGAGUACAAAGAGCACAAAAGAGAGCUGUAAGCUUUAAGUCUCAGAGGCCUGGUGACCAUAAGCAAGAUAGGAACCUUGUCUGGGAAUCGGGUUAUAUAUUUUACCUUCCUGUGUUAGGAAAUGGGGCUUUCUGAUGCAUCUCUUCUUUUAAUCCACACCAGGCGGUUUACUUCAUAACUUCUUUUAAAGGAAAUUUGUUGCCCACCUUAAAUGGGAAUUUAGGUUAAUAUCAAGAAGAGGAAGUAUCUUCUAUUUUAUCUACUAGUGUUGCUAACACUGUACAACAUGUAUCUACUUAGAGUGGUUUUAUUUUGCUUCGUGGCCGUAUUUUUUUGCUUUAUUACUGAUUGUUUUAGUUUUGGUAUCUGUUUUGGGGGUGGGUUCUUAUAUUUUCAGAGGUAUUUGGAAUUAUUUGGAGGUUAAUUUUUUUUUAAUUGUAAAAUGUAUAUAAACAUAAAAUUUACCAUUUUAAUCAUUUUAAGUGUAAAAUUCAGUGGAAUUAAGUAAAUCCACAGUGGUGUGCAAUGAUCACCACAAUCCAUCUCCAGAAAUGAUUCAUUAUCCCAAACUAAACCUCUGUAACCAUUAAACACUGACUCCCCAUUCCCAGCUCUUGGUAACCUCUAUUCUACUUUCUGUCUCUCCUAGUUUGCCUAUUCCAGGGACUGAAUAGAAUAAAAUCAUACAGUAGUAUUCCUUUGUGACUGCUUUAUUUUACCCAGCAUAUUGUCUUCAAGGUUAAUCCAUGUUAUAGCAUGUGUCAGAAUUUUAUUUCUAAGCUGGACAUGUAUGCACAUGACUGUAGUCCCAGCUACUCAAGAGGCUGAGGCAGGAAGAUCGCUUGAGUCCAAGAGUUAGAUUCUAGCCUGAACAACAUAAGGAAACCCAGUUUAAAAAGAAAAUUAUUUCCUUUUGUAGGGCAAAUAACAUUUCCUUGUAUGCAUAUACCACAGUUUGCAUAUCACUUUAUCUGUUGAUGAACACUUGUAUUGCUUCUACCUUUUGUCUAUUAUAAAUAAUGCUGCUUUGAACAUGGGGGCACUAUGUCCCUUUGAAAUACUGAUUUCAGUUCUUUUGGGUAUAUACCCAAUACUGCAAUUGCUGAAAUAUGGUAAUUAUAUCUUUAAUUUUUUGAAGAACCACCAUAGUGUUUUCUGUGGUGACUGUGCCAUUUUACUUUCCUACCAGCAAUGCACGGGGUUAUAAUUUCUUCACUUGUCAACACUUGUUAUUUUCUGUUUGUUUGCUUGUUGAUAAUAUUGAUUCUAAUGGGUGUGAAGUCGUAUCACAUUGUGGUUUUGGUUGCAUUUCCCUAAUUAGUGAUAUUGAGCAUUGUUUCACUUAUUUAUGAGGUAGAAUUGAUUUUAGAAAUAUUUUUGUUUGAGUUUUGAUUUAUUGGUGUGUAGCUGUAGACUUGGGUCAUUUUGGACUACUGACACUGGUGGAGGUUCCUGAAUGCUGGGAGACCUGGACAUGUCCAGAUUAAAUGUCCCACACCAUAAUCUCCCUUUCUCUUGCUCCAUGGCAAGUAAUUUAGCUAAUCCUUUAAUUUAUUCAGUGCACCUCCCUCUCUCUUUACAGUCUUUUGUUUAACUUGGCUCCCUAGCUCUUAAAAUAUAACUAGUUUGGGGUCUGUGGAUCUCUUACUCCUACUUGCUUCCCCCUUUCUUCAGCCUCAGUAUUGAAAGGAAAAAAUAGAUUCCUGGGAGGCCUGUGUCUCCAAAUGAAAAUUUUGAAAGAGACCCUCUUGACAAGAACUCUAGGAAAUGUUGAGAAAGUCCAGGGCUGAGAAGGAAGAAUAAGAUAUAACUAGGUUCUAAGCCAAUUGCUCUCUUGGAAAUGAUUCCAGGCAAGGUAAAUGAUCUGUAUAAUCCCCAGGAAUGGUGGAGAAAAUGAGAUUUUUGUCCUAUGAAUCCUGGCACUGCCUAAAUGAUCUAUCUCUUUUGCUUGAAUUCUCUGCAUGUUUACCUUGUUCUCUCUGUUGUUUUGGUGUUAAAAGUUAAAUAACUCUGAACCAAGGGACUAGGAAUUUGGGGGCACAGAGGGUGGGGAGACCUUUAACACUGGUGGAACACAAAUCAUUUUUAAUAUGCCAUUCCUAAUGACUUGAAAAUACAUAGGAAAAUGUUGGUGAGAUUAUUUGUUGCCGACUGAAGAGAAGAAGUCCUCAAAAUCAGCACAUGAAAUAUGCAGCAAGUAAGAGUAUCCUCACUAAAGGAUGGUUAGAGAAUGGGAAUGGAGUGGCAAACAUACUAGAAAUUCUUCAUCGUAUCUAAACUUCACGUAUAUAUUUGGGUAGAGCCACCACCUUCAGCUGAGUGUAGUGCCCUACUCCAGAGGGCGUCACUCAUGUAAACUAAAACAUGAUUGUAGCCUUUUGGAGUAGAGUAAUACACAUCACGUAACGCAUAUUUGGUGGCCAUGGGUGUGAGUGUAUACAGCCGCAUGCACAGAGCUGCCCUCCCUUGUGUCCAAGCACCACCCUCCCCUUGCUGGGCUAACUCAAUGGACUCCCAUAGGCAGGUCUUGAAAGGCAAAUCCUAGGGACUGAGGGCUCCCAGGAAAAAUCACCCAUGUAGGCUUUCCGGGGAUUUAUAUACCCUUGUCCAAAGGAGGCAUGCCCACACAGGUAAGAAAAUUUGUAGUGAGGAUGUGGCUUUUCCUCUUUUUAUAUUCAGAGCUUCUACUGCUACAGAGCCCAACUAUUCAUUUUGCCUUGAAAAACCUCCAACGUAUUUUUCCUCACAACAUUUCUUUUAGCUUCCAAGCCUUUUCAUUUCCCAGUGGGCUCUUCAAAUUCCCUCCUGCCUCAGAAGCAUCCCUCUGCACCAAAAAGCUCUUGCUCUUUCAGGAUUGAAGACAAGCCUUUCCUUAAGAGUUUGUGUGUUCUUCCUUACUUGGAAAAAUACAUUAUUUCCAAAAUUAUCUAUCUGUUGGUUAAAAAAAAAAUAUAUAUAUAUAUAAAAUAUUUAUGUAUAUAUUUUUAAAAAAUAUUUAUAUGUAUAUUUUAAAAAAUAUUUAUUGAAAAUAUGUGUAUAUCAGUCCUUUCUAAAUUCAACAUAUCUAUAAAAGGUUAAGAAGUUGCCUAGAAUAUUUGUUUUGUUAGUUUUCUUUGAAUUAUAUUUAACAUUUUAUUUUUAAAAUUAUAUGAAGGAAUAAAAAGAAGUGAAGGUAUUCAUCUCAGAUUAUUGAGAAUGAUAACAUAU